GAGACAGGUGCUGCAUGGCUGUCGUCAGCUCGUGUUGUGAAAUGUUGGGUUAAGUCCCGCAACGAGCGCAACCCUUAUCCUUUGUUGCCAGCGCUUCAUGGGGGGAACUCUAGGAAGACGGCCGGGGAUAAACCGAAGAAAGGGGGGGAGAACUCCAAUUCUCCUGGGCCCUUACAAGAAGGGUUCCACACUUGUACCAUGGGCUAUUACAAAGGGGGGCAAAUACCCGAGGUGGACCAAAUCCCACAAAUAUCGUCUAAUUCCGAAUGGAAUUCUGCACUUCACCUCCUUGAAUUCGAAUUCCCUAUAAUUCCCGAAUAAAAUGGCGCCGGGGAAAACUUUCC
rnacentral:rRNA from 1 species